rnacentral:lncRNA from 1 species
AAUGCCAUGCAAUCAUUUUUAUAAUAUCCAUGUAUAGAGAACAAGCUGAUAUGCAUUAUAUUUAGGUAUUACUAACAGUGGAGCUAGAGAUAAUCUCUAACAUUUUUUUUUUUUUACUUCUAAGAGGUCAUGGCUAUUCAUUUGAUUUCUUCAUUCAUUUACUAACUUUUUGAAUGAAUGCCUUUGUCUACAAUGUGCUUUACCAAGUCUUAGUCAUCUGAGUGUAGAUGUUACAUGCUUUCUAUCAGAUGAAGCUUUGUAUAUAUUCUGCCAUUGUUCUGUUUCUUAAUUAAUGGCUUUUAAUGACAUGUUUAUAUUUACAUGCUGCUUAUCACUGGGCAGCAUACACAGUUAUGUUAUUGGCCUAAAUUCUUAAAUUAGCUGUGUCUGUCGGCUUUUGUGACUAUGACAAAAUAACUGAGGCUGACAAAAUAACAUAAUUUGAAGAAGACAGGAUUAAUUUGGCUCACUGUUUUAAAAGUUUUGGCUCAUGUUCUUUUGACUCUGCUGUUCCUGGAUUUUUGUGAAGCAGAAUAUUAUGUAUAUGUGUAAGAACAGAGAAGCCCACCUUAUGGUGGCUAGGAAGGGACUAGUACUAGACAUCCAACUAUUGACUCUUCUUAGCCUUAACUAGCAAUCAUUUAGACACCUAGCUAGGGUCCAUCAUGCACUUUUCCAGUUCAAUAACUUAGCCAAGCACCAGUGGGCAACUGAUAGGAUUUAAGAUCCUUUAAAUAUAAGGGACAGAGAUGGGGAUAGAAAUCUCUUUAACUAUAAGAGAAGAGAUAAAUAUCGCAGCUGUCAUUUCUUUUUUCUUUUUUUUUUGUUUUUUUUUUCAGUUUUUUUAAUUGGAUAUUUUCUUCAUUUACAUUUCAAAUGCUAUCCCCAAAGCCCCCUUUACCCUCCCCUGCCCUGCAUCCCAACCCACCCACUCCCGCUUCCUGGCCCUGGCAGUCCCCUGUACUGGGGCAUAUGAGUAUCGCAAUACCAAGGGCCUCUCCUCUGGGGUGGGGGGUACUGCUUAGUUCAUAUCAUUGUUCCUCCUAUAGGAUUGCAGACCCUUUAGCUCCUUGGGUACUUUCUCUAGCUCCUUCAUUAGGGGCCCUGUGUUCCAUCCAAUAGAUGACUGUGAGCAUCCACUUCUGUAUUUGCCAGGCAUUAGCAUAGGCUCACAAGAGAGAGUCAGGGUCCCGUCAGCAAAAUCUUGCUGAUAUAUACAAUAGUGUCUGGGUUUGGUGGUUGUAUAUGGGAUGGAUCCCCGGGUUGGGCAGUCUCUGGAUGGUCUUUCUUUCCAUCUUAGCUCUGAACUUUGUCUCUGUAACUCCUUCCAUGGGUAUUUUGUUCCCCAUUUUAAGAAGGAAUGAAGUAUCCACACUUUGGUCUUCCUUCUCCUUGAGUUUCAUGUGUUUUGCAAAUUGUAUCUUUGGUAUUCUAAAUUUCUGGGCUAAUAUCUGCUUAUCAGUGAGUGCAUAUCAUGUGUGUUCUUUUGUGAUUGAGUUACCUCACUCAGGAUGAUAUCCUCCAGAUAUAUCCAUUUGCCUAAGAAUUUCAUGAAUUCAUUGUUUUUAAUUGCUAAGUAGUACUCCAUUGUGUAAAUGUACCACCUUUUCUGUAUCCAUUCCUCUGUUGAGGGGCAUCUGGGUUCCUUCCAGGUUCUGGUUAUUAUAAAUUAGGCUGCUAUGAACAUAGUGGAGAAUGUGUCCUUAUUACAUGUUCCUUCCAGGAGAGGAAUUGCUGGAUCUUCCGGUAGUACUAUGUCCAAUUUUCUGAGAAACCGCCCGACUGAUUUCUAGUGUGGUUAUACCAGCUUGCAAUCCCACCAACAAUGGAGGAGUGUUCCUCUUUCUCCACAUCCUAGCCAGCAUCUGCUGCCACCUGAAUAUUUGAUCUUAGCCAUUCUGACUGGUGUGAGAUGGAAUCUCAGGGUUGUUUGGUUUGCAUUUCCCUGAUGAUUAAGGAUGUUUAGCAUUUUUUCAGGUGCUUCUCAGCCAUUCAGUAUUCCUCGGUUGAGAAUUCUUUGUUUAGCUCUCUACCCCAUUUUUAAUAGGGUUAUUUAAUUUUCUGGGGUCCAUCUUCUUGAGGGAGAACACUGCUUUCCUUUCUUUCUCUUUGAUAUUGGUCAGAGAUCGUUGAUAGUUUCUUCGUUUUAUGUAAUAAGAACAAAUUAGUGUUUUUUCUGCUCCAUUAUUAAAGAACUAUUAUUGUGAAUUUAUAUGAUUCUAUAGUUCAGACACAAGAAAUCUCAUUUGUUUUUAUUUUGUUUUCUUAUUUCUCUGCACCCUUAUAUUGUUUUCACAGAAACAUGUGUUUGUUUUUUGGGAUGACAUCCUAGGAUACUGCCAAUAAAGGGCCAAUCUUCAUGGUCUCCUGCAUCGGGCACUACUUGGUGACUAUCUCUGUAUCUUUAUUUGAUAAUAUCUAUGUGCUGUCUAGAAGCAGUUAGGACUACAUAAUCAAUGACUGAAAAAUGACUUUCUUGUCCAAUAAGAUAUUCAGCUUAUUACAUAAAGCAACACAAAAUUCACUAGAGGACUCUAAUUUGUGUAUACUUACUAUUUCUGUUAUCAAAUCUAUGACCCACUUUUUCAUAAGAGUCUGUAAUCUGAUAGAUAUAAUAAUACAGAUUGAAGAUUUUUAUCUAAAGUACUGUUUCUCCACUCACCCACACACAUGUGCAUCACCACUUAUACACAAUUGUUUGUAUGAAGUGGUCAAAGAAUGCAGAAUUUGGGAAGUACGUAAAAAUAAUCAUUGUGCCCAUUCUUAUGUAUCAAUGAUGAAAUUUCAAUUCACACCCACCUUACAAGUCAUAAGUUUAAGAAAGCACUCAGAAACUAAAACAGAACAUAAAAUUGCAGAAUUCUGACACAGCAUAGAUCUGGGUGUUCC